rnacentral:lncRNA from 1 species
AAAUGAAAAGUAUUCUGAUACAAUAUAGCCUAAACUCUACUCUCUCAUGAGAUCAUUUUAUACUCCUUUCAUUGUAUUAGUUAUCUUUUUGAUAUAGUGUAAUGUUACUAAAAAAUUGUAGUCAAAUAUGAGUUCAUAUAAGAACAAUGUUUUAAUACAACAAAAUAUGGUAUAAUAUGAGAUGUCAAAAGCACUCUUUAAGUUACUAAACUAAUACACACAAAUUUAAUAGCAUAAAUACACACUUAUCAUGAUUUUAUUGAAUUGAUGACUAGGUUCCAUGUACAGAAAAUUAACAUUUUGAACACAGCAUAGGAAUAAGGACAUAAUCUCUGCAUUAAUUGAAAUUAGUCUUACAUACCGAAUAUUUAAACUUUGAGUAACUCUGAAUUCACGAGCUAACUUAUAAAUAUGAGUAAGUCAUGUGGAUUUCAAUACGGUAUGUUGUUAGGUUUGUGAGUGGAGACAAGUCAAUCAAAUAUUUACAAAAAAGCCAAGAAACAAGAUUACCAAUCCUCUUUAUGGACCCGGUGGUUUGGGCUUGAAAGCUCCACUUCAUGUGCUCUCGGGUUCGAGAGGAUUGGUAGCUGAAAUGCGGUUCUAAGCGAUGUUUUUGACAUAUAAUGAGGUAUUCUAAAAUACCUUUUUUCCCUUAAAAAAUUAGAGCGAUCAUACAGUCACAAAUUUUUGUAUAAAUUAAUGUGACAUUAAUUUAUAGGUUGAAUAAAAAUAUAAAAUAAUAAAAAUAAAUCAUGUGGGUCAAGCGAUAUUUAAUUCAAUCAAUAAAUUAACAUCAUAUCAGUUUAUAUAAGUGUUUGUGACAAUAUCAUUACUCAAUAAAUUAUAUUAAGAUUAUAGAGAUGUAACAGAGAGAUGAUAUUCUAAAAUACUUGUACCAUAUAUUAUCAAUUUUUUUUAUUUUUUUUUAAAGGGUAUGUGUAUAUAAAAACUCCAUUUAGUUUGAGAUGUUUUAAAUUACAAAAAUUGUAAAAUAGAAACUGUAGUUGUAAAAUAAAAUUUUUUAGUAUUUAAUAAAUAAUUUUUUUUUAAAUGUAGUAAAAAUAGUAUAUAUUUUUCAUCAUAAAAAUCAUUUAUAGAUGAAUGAUCUAAAUAUUUGUUAAAACAUAGGAACUAUUUUACGAAUCAUGAAUCCUUACUAUUUAGCCCCUGAAUUCAAAUAGCAGCCAAGAGACUCUUCAUUGAGGCGUUUCAUCAGAUGGUUUCAUACAUCAAUUAAUCCCUUGUUGCUUUAACUGUAUAAAUACCUGUUCAAAUAACAAAGAAAGGAAGUUCUAAUUUUGAAUUUGGAGAUUCCUUCAAUUAAUAAUAAUUUUUUUCCCAUCAACUUCCAAAAUUGAAAGCUGAAAAAUCAACUUUGCCCAAGUAAAUACUAUUAUAUACUUUAAACCAUUAGCGGGUGGAAGUCCUAAGUGAAACUUUUAAAAGCUUCAAAUAUAUUAUUGAUUGAGACUCAACACCAGCUCUCGUUGCGCGCUUGGUGGUGUAUGGUGCUUAAUCAGUUACCAUGACACCGGUACGCGUUCGAGCUGGUACCAGAACAUUACAUACACACACACAUAUACAACAAUCAUCGUCUACCGACGGACUGAUGCCAAAAAAAUUUGAGGUAUUCCAAAAUACCUCUCUUUUCUUUGUCUGCUCAGGCCUCUAAUAAAUUAAUUGAUGUUUGUCACUAAUUACCUUACUAAUUAAAACCAAUUACAAAUCGCAGCUUGAAAAUCUUAGUAACUUUGGGAGCUGCAAAACCAACUUUGCCAAAGUUUUUCCGGUAGCAUUACAAGAUCGCUUGACAUGUUCAACAUCAAAAUCAUUAUAGUGCACUCUAGAAUUCUAUAUCGGAAUUUUUUUUUUUGAUUUAUUUUCAAAUGAAUACCAAUUUUACAAAUUUUCAAUAAUGUGAUCGGUAUUAUAAUCAUAUACCUCUUAUAUCAUCUCAAAAUCUUAUUAAUAAAGAUGACAAAUAUCCAAUUAUGGAUAAAUAAUAUCCAUCCAAGUACAAAUCUAUAAUUAUCCAUGAUGUAUAUAUCCGUAUAAUUAUCCAGUAUUAAAGUAUUUAAUACUGGAUAUGGAUAUAGAUUUUAUUCAUAUAGAUAUGGAUAUCCACGUAUAUUUGAUUAUUAUAUAAAAAAUAAUACAAAAAUAAUAAUAUAUAAUAGUUAAAACCAGUAUUAGAUUCCAAUAUCAAAUCAGAAAUAAUAAACAACUCAAAUAAAAAAAAAUCAAAACUAUGAAUUUACAUAAAGAAAUUAUAAUAUGAAAUUACAAAUUAAUUUCAAACUAUAUACAAAAAGUCCAUUCUCCUAACACAUCAUUAAUCUCCAACCUGACCAUCAUCAUUAAUCUACAAAUUAAAAUAAAGCAUUAAACAAGUGAAUAAUUUGUAUUGUUUAUGACCAUGAUCAUUCAUAAUUGAGCAUCACAACAAGUAUCAAACACAUACCAAAAAAAGAAAAAUAAACAGUAUUCAGAAUAUGGUUGUGUCUCCUUUUUGUCAUCAUUAUCAAUCACUUCUCCAUUCAUUACUUCCUCGUUCGUCACCUUAUCUUUAAGAAUUCCAUCUAUUUAAAAAAAAGUGUAAAAUAUAAAGAAAACAAAUAUUAUCAAAAUUAAAUAAAGGACAAAAGUGAACUGAAUUUGAUACCUUUCAAUUGAGCCCAUGUCUAAUUUUGAGUACACAUUAAGGCCUUUAAGGUACUCGGAUGAAAUCUACUACGAUGUGGAAUUAAAAAUCGAGCUCCCACACAAAAAGCAGACUUGGAAGCAGAUUCUCUUGUUUAGAAAUUAGAACCAAGCGUUGCUUAAACCUUUAACAUGCUUGAAUCAUUUUAACUCGCAAUUUAAUUUCAACAGGCCUAUCAAUGACGGUAUGAACAAUCACUCGCUGAGAAUUGGACAUAGGCUAAUUUGUCCUAAUUUUAUUAUAAAUUUAGGAUAAAUUUAUUUCAUAUAGAUAUGGGUUUAUUUUAUAAAAUUAGGAUAAAUUAAAACAAGAUCAAAGGCAAUGAAUCAAACAAAUUUGGGGAGUGUUGGUGAAGAAAAAGAGAGAGAUUUGAGAUGCAGGUUUGCCUCUGCUUGUUCCUUUUCCUUAGUAAUAGAGAGAACAAAGAAGAAAAGCGAUGAACGGUGAGAAAUGAGUAGCCGUCGAGGGAUGACGGUUGGCGAUAAUCUUAGGGUUCGUUAAAUUGAUAAUCUCUCAUGACAUUUGUUUUUAUUUUUUUCAUUUUAAUUUUAUAAAAAAAAAUUAACUUAAAAUCGGGUAAAUAGAGUGAUGAAUUGGAAUUUGGAUAUCCAUUAAACAUCCAUAUCCAUCCAAUAUCUAAUUAGAUAUUUUAAAAUAUAUCCAUAUCCAUAUCCAAAAGAUUUUGGGUGGAUAUUAUCCAAUUUAAUUAGACUGGAUAUAUGGACAUCCAAUUUAGAUGGACCAAUUUGUCAUCCCUACUCAUUAGAUUAACUAGUGCGCACAAGUAUAAUAGCAUAAAUGCACACACAUCUUCAUUUUAUUGAACUGAUGAGCAAAUUCCAUGAAGCCAAAUGUUAGUAUCUUUUAACGUCAUAUAAUGUUAAAGAGAUAAUUUCAUAUUGAUUGAAAAUAACUAGUUCCAUAAAUUGAAUAUAUAAGCUUUGAGUAAUUCUUAACUUAUAAGCUGACUUUUAAUUGUUAGUUACUUCAUGACUUUUGGAGUUAAGUUGGGUUAUAGAAAUGGUUAAAAAAUUGAUGAGACCUAAAGACGUGAUUAUUUAUCACCAAUCGUCUUCUUCAUGAAGUUGUAAGAAUAUAAUAUUUGUUUAAUUUUUUUAAUGCCUUUCACAUAAUAGGAUAGUUAUUAGUGAAUUUUCUGCUAAAAAAAAAAAAUAGAAACAUCUUUCUAUUUUAAUUAAAAGAUAAAAGAGAAGAUAAAAUUUAAAUUAGUUUUUAACCCCUACUUUGCCCCAUUACCUGAACUCAGACCAAGUGUUGGGGGAGACAAAACAUCUUUUUGUUAUUGCAUUAUUUUGGGGAAACAAAAAUCCUAUUAUUUUAUUGAAAAAAAAAAAAGGCAUACACAGCACUUGCCCCGCCAUUGACUUGGUGGUAUGGUGCUAACUUGUUCAGCAAACAUUCCAUUAAGUCCAUCCUUCGAGUGGGCCGUGGGGCAAGUAUGCAACAGUUGCAGCAAAUAGCAAGGUGAUCCUGAAUUUUAGAAAAAGAGGUAUUCUAAAAUACCUCUCUUUUAUUAAUUAGAUCUAUACACAUACUAUUUCUCUUUUUUCUUUUUUUCACUUCUUCAGAAAGCGUGAAAUUGGUUUAACAUCGUGCUAGUGUUCUAAUUCAUAACGGCGUGAAAUAAAAGAUGAUAUAAAAUUUGAUAGUGUUUGAUAUUUAAUAAUUUUAAAAUAAAAAUAAUAAAAUAGUGUAUAUGACUCAUUAGUGAUGACAAAAUCUUCUACUGGGUCUCACCCCAAAUAAGAUACAUAUUAAUGAGUUUUUAUAAAAUGAGAAACAAAUAAUUUCAAAUUCUUAAAUAGGGUGAGGUUACAUUCCCCACCCCACCCUCCCAGGGGCGGAUGCAGCUUGUGAAUAGUGGGGGCUUAAGUCCCCACUGGCCAAAAAUA